CAAAGUACUUUUAAAAAUUAUAUAUAUAUGUGUGUGUGUGUGUGUGUGUGUGUGUGUGUGUGUAUACAUACAUACAUACAUACAUACAUAUAUACAUAUAUACAC
ensembl:miRNA Gm25025 predicted gene, 25025